rnacentral:rRNA from 2 species
AGAGUUUGAUCCUGGCUCAGGAUGAACGCUGGCGGCGUGCCUAAUACAUGCAAGUCGAGCGAACGGACGAGAAGCUUGCUUCUCUGAUGUUAGCGGCGGACGGGUGAGUAACACGUGGAUAACCUACCUAUAAGACUGGGAUAACUUCGGGAAACCGGAGCUAAUACCGGAUAAUAUUUUGAACCGCAUGGUUCAAAAGUGAAAGACGGUCUUGCUGUCACUUAUAGAUGGAUCCGCGCUGCAUUAGCUAGUUGGUAAGGUAACGGCUUACCAAGGCAACGAUGCAUAGCCGACCUGAGAGGGUGAUCGGCCACACUGGAACUGAGACACGGUCCAGACUCCUACGGGAGGCAGCAGUAGGGAAUCUUCCGCAAUGGGCGAAAGCCUGACGGAGCAACGCCGCGUGAGUGAUGAAGGUCUUCGGAUCGUAAAACUCUGUUAUUAGGGAAGAACAUAUGUGUAAGUAACUGUGCACAUCUUGACGGUACCUAAUCAGAAAGCCACGGCUAACUACGUGCCAGCAGCCGCGGUAAUACGUAGGUGGCAAGCGUUAUCCGGAAUUAUUGGGCGUAAAGCGCGCGUAGGCGGUUUUUUAAGUCUGAUGUGAAAGCCCACGGCUCAACCGUGGAGGGUCAUUGGAAACUGGAAAACUUGAGUGCAGAAGAGGAAAGUGGAAUUCCAUGUGUAGCGGUGAAAUGCGCAGAGAUAUGGAGGAACACCAGUGGCGAAGGCGACUUUCUGGUCUGUAACUGACGCUGAUGUGCGAAAGCGUGGGGAUCAAACAGGAUUAGAUACCCUGGUAGUCCACGCCGUAAACGAUGAGUGCUAAGUGUUAGGGGGUUUCCGCCCCUUAGUGCUGCAGCUAACGCAUUAAGCACUCCGCCUGGGGAGUACGACCGCAAGGUUGAAACUCAAAGGAAUUGACGGGGACCCGCACAAGCGGUGGAGCAUGUGGUUUAAUUCGAAGCAACGCGAAGAACCUUACCAAAUCUUGACAUCCUUUGACAACUCUAGAGAUAGAGCUUUCCCCUUCGGGGGACAAAGUGACAGGUGGUGCAUGGUUGUCGUCAGCUCG